rnacentral:ncRNA from 1 species
AGGCUGGCAGGCGUAGCUGGUUCGUCCUGCCCGCCAGGCAGGACGUCGCAAGAGGGAACCCGGUGGAAUUCCGGGACUGCCCCGCAGCGGUGAGUGGGAACGACCGCCGUCACACAGCACUGGGCCCGAGGGGUCCGGGAAGCGACGGCCAGUAGGUGUCCGCCUCGACGGCGGACGCGCCCGCGAGUCCGAAGACCUGCCGGCUGCCCGCGCGUGAC